rnacentral:rRNA from 1 species
CUGCGAAUGGCUCAUUAAAUCAGUUAUCGUUUAUUUGAUAGUACCUACCAACUACUUGGAUAACCGUGGUAAUUCUAGAGCUAAUACAUGCUAAAAACCCCGACUUCGGGAGGGGUGUAUUUAUUAGAUAAAAAACCAAUGCCCCUCGGGGCUUCUUGGUGAUUCAUGAUAACUUAACGGAUCGCAUGGCCUUGCGCCGGCGACGGUUCAUUCAAAUUUCUGCCCUAUCAACUUUCGAUGGUAAGGUAUUGGCUUACCAUGGUUUCAACGGGUAACGGGGAAUUAGGGUUCGAUUCCGGAGAGGGAGCCUGAGAAACGGCUACCACAUCCAAGGAAGGCAGCAGGCGCGCAAAUUACCCAAUCCCGACACGGGGAGGUAGUGACAAUAAAUACUGAUACAGGGCUCUUUUGGGUCUUGUAAUCGGAAUGAGUACAAUUUAAACCCCUUAACGAGGAACAAUUGGAGGGCAAGUCUGGUGCCAGCAGCCGCGGUAAUUCCAGCUCCAAUAGCGUAUAUUAAAGUUGUUGCAGUUAAAAAGCUCGUAGUUGAACCUUGGGCCUGGCUGGCCGGUCCGCCUCACCGCGUGUACUGGUCCGGCCGGGCCUUUCCUUCUGGAGAACCGCAUGCCCUUCACUGGGUGUGCCGGGGAACCAGGACUUUUACUUUGAAAAAAUUAGAGUGUUCAAAGCAGGCCUUUGCUCGAAUACGUUAGCAUGGAAUAAUAGAAUAGGACGUGCGGUCCUAUUUUGUUGGUUUCUAGGACCGCCGUAAUGAUUAAUAGGGAUAGUCGGGGGCAUCAGUAUUCAAUUGUCAGAGGUGAAAUUCUUGGAUUUAUUGAAGACUAACUACUGCGAAAGCAUUUGCCAAGGAUGUUUUCAUUAAUCAGUGAACGAAAGUUAGGGGAUCGAAGACGAUCAGAUACCGUCGUAGUCUUAACCGUAAACUAUGCCGACUAGGGAUCGGGCGAUGUUUCUAUCUUGACUCGCUCGGCACCUUACGAGAAAUCAAA